CCUACGGGAGGCAGCAGUAGGGAAUCUUCCACAAUGGACGAAAGUCUGAUGGAGCAACGCCGCGUGAGUGAAGAAGGGUUUCGGCUCGUAAAGCUCUGUUGGUAGUGAAGAAAGAUAGAGGUUGUAACUCGCCUUUAUUUGACGUUAAUUACUUAGAACGUCACGGCUAACUACGUGCCAGCAGCCGCGGUAAUACGUAGGUGGCAAGCGUUGUCCGGAUUUAUUGGGCGGAAAGCGAGUGCAGGCGGGUCGAUAAGUCCGAUGUGAAUGCCUUCGGCUCAACCGGAGAAUUGCAUCAGAAACUGUUGAACUUGAGUGCAGGAGAGGAAAGUGGAACUCCAUGUGUAGCGGUGGAAUGCGUAGAUAUAAGGAAGAACACCAGUGGCGAAGGCGGCUUUCUGGACUGCAACUGACGCUGAGGCUCGAAAGCGUGGGUAGCAAACAGGAUUAGAUACCCAAGUAGUC
rnacentral:rRNA from 1 species